CUCGCCCACCCACCAGUUCCUUCUUCCUCUUUUCUGAGUAAAUAUGGCCAGAGAAGAAGAAGAUGGAAGAUCAAACCAAGAAAAGCAAGACGACCCACAACCCCAUCUCGUUCUCUUCUUACAUUGGCCUUAGCUUCUCUCUCUUCUUGGCAUCAUUGCCAAGCAACUCUUUCAGUUUUGUACAAAAGCUUCAAUCCCAAAUCAGAGACCUCUCAUUGCGCCUUUUCCAAGCUGAGGAGCAGCUUAAACAAAUGAAAUCCAGGAGAAAAGAGGACUCCAAGGCCAAUGCAAGAGUUGUUGAGAUCUUUGCCAG
rnacentral:misc_RNA from 1 species